rnacentral:rRNA from 1 species
CACGUAGGGUGCGAGCGUUGUCCGGAAUUAUUGGGCGUAAAGAGCUCGUAGGCGGUGUGUCGCGUCGGCCGUGAAAACCUGCAGCUUAACUGUGGGCUUGCGGUCGAUACGGGCAUCACUGGAGUUCGGCAGGGGAGACUGGAAUUCCUGGUGUAGCGGUGAAAUGCGCAGAUAUCAGGAGGAACACCGGUGGCGAAGGCGGUUCUCUGGGCAUGUCCUGACGCU